ensembl:lncRNA
UGGAGUUGUUGAUAAUCAAAGAUGUAGAGGGAUGGAGAGGGAAAUGAGGAGGCUUUCCAAGAUUUUCAUACAGCACAAAGAGAAAGCAUAGAGAUCAAAAUAUCUAAUGUUCAUUUAAAUGAGCAACAUUUAAUAUGAAAAUUGGGCAGGAGAAUGAUAUGUUGAGUGGAUAGUAUAAAAACUGAAAACUAUGAAUAAUUAUAUCAAAGAAAUCUUUAAAGAAAGAAACACAGAAGCUUGAUUGCUAAGACAUUAGCAUCCAAAGUCAUGUAUUCACUGCAUAUAAUACGGAUUUUUAAAAUAUACUGGCAAUGAGAAAUUUGAGCCUGCAACUUACAUGAAACAUUCAGCAAAAUAGCAAUUUGCAGGUAAUGAGAAAAUAGCUCUGUGGUGGUAGUCUUUAGUAUUACAAUUACAAAUGAUGUGUAUCCAAGAGAAUCCUAGUGCUAAUCAGAAAAAUAAAGCAAACUCCUAGGUAUCCAUGUGCUCAUUCUUUUUUUUUAAAUUUAUUUAAUAAAUUUUAUCUAUUGAACUUUACCUCAUAUAGGACAAACACAUUGAUCAUAUCUCUCUGAGAUUUCUGUCAGGCCACCUUCUGGAGUUCAGUUCCAAAAGAUUACAAGGUGGAACUGCAGAGAGUUUCCAUGGUAACCUUAGUGUGUUCCCAUCUGAAUAGCCAGAACUCUGACCCCUCAUUCACUUGUUAGCUUACCCAGGAGACCCAGAGCUUCCAGGGAACUCUACUUCCUUAGAACAGAGGUAGUAGGUAAAGUAAUGUAAAGGGCAAGUGCUGGAAAAAAAAAUUUGAAGACAGCAGUUUUAUUUACCCUCUAGGAAAAUAACUUUUCAUUUGGUGAUAACCAUUUGUUAUGGAUCAUGAAGAACGCCUGAAAAUAGACAAGGAUGGAACAUUCAGAGGUGGAAGAGAAUCUACUGAGAGGUGUGCAGCGAAAACAGACAGUUUCUGUAGCCAAGUGUGGGGAAUUAUGUAAAAUGCUACAGAGAAGACUAAUAAGAUAAGGAGUAAACUGCGUCCAUUGGAUUUAGCAACCAAGAGGUUUUUGGCCUUGAAAGUGGAGGAGAGCACUGGUGGAAGAGUAAAAGGAGAUGAAACUGAAGAUUGAUUUCAAAGAACUGAACAAAACUGAAGCUGUUAAUGUACACUAUGCUUUCCCCAAAAUCUUGGCUGUGAAUGCAAGGGAAAUAAAAGAGUAGAUGUGAGAAGAGGGUGUAAAUAUGAGUGGGAUGCAUCUUAAAACAUAGAAGAAGAUGUAGAAAAAGAGAAGAGAGUAAGCAGAAGUGCUAAUGACUCUGAGAAGGUAGGAGAGAUGGCAUAGAAAGUGCAGGGAAGUAACUGAGGCUUCAUAUGCAGAAGACAAGUCCCUUUCCAAGAGAAGGAAGGGAAAAAUAUAGGAAUGAAGACAGAUGCAUGCAUUUGUAUUUGUCAGGAAGUUAAGGAAAUUUAGAGAUAAGCAUCUCAAAUUUUAGGGAAUAAAGAGUAAGGUUACCUGAUAAGCUAAUGAGAGAGGGGUGGAAUUAAGUGCUCAAGUGGUGUUACUAUGUUACAUGUCUAUGGGGGACAAUAAGAAUCUGUUCAUCUGCUUGCCUGUCUGCUUGUCUUUCUAGCCAUCUCUUACUGCCCUGAGUGCCCAGCUGACAUUGCUUAGGAACAGAAGAUUGAAACUACUAGUUAGUGAUGAUUGAAGUGGGGCUCAAACAGUAGAGACUCUAGGUUCAACGUGGAAGGGAAUGAAAGAUAAUGAAAAAAGGAAGUGAGAAGAAAUCGGAGGCUUUAUUAAUGUUGAACCAUUAGACAGGAAGUAGAGUUUAGGCAUUAAAGUUAUGAGAAAUACCUAAAUUCAGAAUAAUGUCAAGGUUUAAGGUGUUGCUGUUUAUAAGAGUGGUUGAGCUUCAGCAAAGGGAAAAACAGUCAAAAUCCCAGCUGGAUUAAGAAGCAUUGAUGCUAAU